GCAUUUCUAGCGUAGGUUGGGAAGCCGACACUCCCCGGUAACUGGCAGGGGGAGGCGGUUUGCGGGACGCUGCCGGGGGGCGCUGAGCUUUGUGCCAACCUCUCCCAGCGUCCGGCCAGCCAGGAGAAAGCUGCGAAUGCAGGAGGGGAUGAAGGCGGAGAAUGGGUGAGGAAGGAAGGGGCUGGGAAAUGGGAAGAGGUCGUUCUGCCCCCGAAACUACAUAAUGGCUGGGAAGGACCGCCAAACAAGACUGGAACCAGUAGGAAGUUGUACGGUAUGAAGAAACAGGCCCAAGGAAGCUUCCAGAUUUUGUCAGAUGGUAGAUUCCAAGUCUCCAACUUCUACUGCUGCUUGGUGCUGUCUAACCGUCCCUUAAUGGCACAGAUUCACUGGACAGUUGAGAAGAUGGAUCAUAUGCCUAUCUGCUUCCAGUGUCCUCUUGCUUCCAGGCUGAAGGAGCUGUGUUCUCCAGGACAUAGUUCCAUGGACCCCAGCUUCAAAAAACAUGACUCUACAGUGUGAAAUAAUUGAGGGUAAGCACUGCGAAUUUUUUUUUUUUUGGGGGGGGGCCACACCCACAGGAAUGUGGAAAAUCUCAGGCUAGGGGUUAAAUCGAAGCUGCAACUGCCAGCCUACACUAUAGCCAUAGCAACUUGGGAUCCAAGCUGGGUCUGUGACCUACACCACAGCUCAUAGCAACGCUGGAUCCCCAACCCCACUGAGUGGAGCCAGAAAUGGAACCCAGAUCUUCAUGGAUAUUAGCCAGAUUCAUUUUCACUGUGCUGCAACGGGAACUCCAGCACUGUGAAUUUGGGACAUGAUGUCUCCCACACUGAGUAGAUAGUCCUGUACAUAUUGAGUCCUGAAAACACUGAAUGAAUGAAUCAAAUAGCCUUUUUUGGAGAUCCACUGUACUGGUAGUAUGCUAUGUGUUUUAUGUAUGUUCUUUCAUUCUUCUAAUGUUGUUCUAUGGCUGAGGAAACUGAAGCUAACUAGAAGUAAAAGAAGCUGAAGAUCUAGAAUUGACAAGCAUAGAAAGGAGAUAUGACUAGAUCUGAAGUUCAAGGGGAGGACUCCUGCAUGAGCAGGGCCUUAGUCUGGGUGUUGAGACAUGUUGUGAGAUUCACCAUCAUGGCUCAGCUGGUCCUAGUUCCAGGCCCAGCUGUGGGGGGCCAUCACCUCUGAGGUCUUCUCAGGCCACCAUGUGGCAGCACCAUUGUCAGGCACUUGUUGUCAGUGACAAAAAUGGACUUCCUAUUUGCUCCUUCUAAUAGCCCCUUAAAAUAACACAUGAGUCUUUCAUAGUUUUAGCUUCCACUUGAGAACCUGCAUUCAGACUAAAACCUUUUUGUUGUGGUUGAGAUUGAUUUGCAAUCUGAUUCUUGCAUUAGAUAGCCAUUCUUAGGCUAUUAGGAGCCCCAUAGAAAAUUGCUCCAAUGGAUCCAUAUCACUUUGGGAAGUUCCCGUGGAAUUGUUCUUCCGGAGAAAUGAUAAAAACUCUGGGUCAGUCGCUAGAGUGUCAGCAGAUUGAAUGGCCAAAAGAGAAUGCCUCCCAUCUGUGGCCCUGAAGUGCUGGGUCAGCAGAGGAAAGUGGUUAAAAUAAUUACCGUGGAGUCAGGGAAUUUGGCAGAUUUGGGAGAUCACACAUGUAAAGGGACCUUUUUUCCUCCGUUUUCUUAUCUCAGACCCAUGUGAAUUGAUGAUCAUGAGGGCACCAAGGGGACAGAAAUAGACGUUAUCCUGCUCCGGUCCCAAACCGGGAAGAAAGAAAUAACCAACCCUACUUCUCUACAUGGGUGGAAUGAGGGCUGACCAGUAUGCAAAUGGCAGCAGACAUAUGGUUAUGUUCUGAUUAGCUACUAGUGAUUUGAAGCCAUGCAUAUGUAUCAACUGCUGAUGUAUGUAUGGACAAUACAUCUGUUUACACAAAUAGACUUGAAGCAUUUUUUUUUCCAUUUUUCUUAAGGAUCUAGUACUGGAUGCCCAUAGGAAAAGAUGUUUUACUUCCUUUUCCCAUUAAUUUUGAUCAGCCAGAAUCAAACUACUUUGUUUUCUCUUAUUCUUACUUUUGUGAAGGAACUUUUUCUUUGUGUGUGUAGCUUUACUAACCAUAUUGUUUGGGCUCUUGAAAAAGGAGGUAUGGGAGUUCCCAUUGUGGCCUAACAAGAUUGGCAGCAUCUCUGGAGUACUGGGAUACAGGUUAAGUCCCCGGCCCAGCACAACAGAUUAAGGAUCUGGCAUUGCCUCAGCUAUAGCAUAGGUUGAAACUGCAGCUCGGAUCUAAUCCCUGGCCUGGGAACUCUAUGUGCCAUGGGGUAGUCAAAAAAAAAAAAAAAAAAAAAAAAAAAAA
ensembl:lncRNA